GAGGGAAACCGAGUCUUAAUUGGGCGUUAAGUUGCAGGGUAUAGACCCGAAACCCGGUGAUCUAGCCAUGGGCAGGUUGAAGGUUGGGUAACACUAACUGGAGGACCGAACCGACUAAUGUUGAAAAAUUAGCGGAUGACCUGUGGCUGGGGGUGAAAGGCCAAUCAAACCGGGAGAUAGCUGGUUCUCCCCGAAAGCUAUUUAGGUAGCGCCUCGUGAAUUCAUCUCCGGGGGUAGAGCACUGUUUCGGCUAGGGGGCCAUCCCGGCUUACCAACCCGAUGCAAACUGCGAAUACCGGAGAAUGUUAUCACGGGAGACACACGGCGGGUGCUAACGUCCGUCGUGAAGAGGGAAACAACCCAGACCGCCAGCUAAGGUCCCAAAGUCAUGGUUAAGUGGGAAACGAUGUGGGAAGGCCCAGACAGCCAGGAUGUUGGCUUAGAAGCAGCCAUCAUUUAAAGAAAGCGUAAUAGCUCACUGGUCGAGUCGGCCUGCGCGGAAGAUGUAACGGGGCUAAACCAUGCACCGAAGCUGCGGCAGCGACACUGUGUGUUGUUGGGUAGGGGAGCGUUCUGUAAGCCUGUGAAGGUGUGUCGUGAGGCAUGCUGGAGGUAUCAGAAGUGCGAAUGCUGACAUAAGUAACGAUAAAGCGGGUGAAAAGCCCGCUCGCCGGAAGACCAAGGGUUCCUGUCCAACGUUAAUCGGGGCAGGGUGAGUCGACCCCUAAGGCGAGGCCGAAAGGCGUAGUCGAUGGGAAACGGGUUAAUAUUCCCGUACUUGGUGUUACUGCGAAGGGGGGACGGAGAAGGCUAUGUUGGCCGGGCGACGGUUGUCCCGGUUUAAGCGUGUAGGUGUGUGUUCCAGGUAAAUCCGGUUCACUUUAACACUGAGGCGUGACGACGAGGCACUACGGUGCUGAAGCAACAAAUGCCCUGCUUCCAGGAAAAGCCUCUAAGCAUCAGGUAACAUCAAAUCGUACCCCAAACCGACACAGGUGGUCAGGUAGAGAAUACCAAGGCGCUUGAGAGAACUCGGGUGAAGGAACUAGGCAAAAUGGUGCCGUAACUUCGGGAGAAGGCACGCUGACACGUAGGUGAAGUGAUUUACUCAUGGAGCUGAAGUCAGUCGAAGAUACCAGCUGGCUGCAACUGUUUAUUAAAAACACAGCACUGUGCAAACACGAAAGUGGACGUAUACGGUGUGACGCCUGCCCGGUGCCGGAAGGUUAAUUGAUGGGGUCAGCGCAAGCGAAGCUCCUGAUCGAAGCCCCGGUAAACGGCGGCCGUAACUAUAACGGUCCUAAGGUAGCGAAAUUCCUUGUCGGGUAAGUUCCGACCUGCACGAAUGGCGUAAUGAUGGCCAGGCUGUCUCCACCCGAGACUCAGUGAAAUUGAACUCGCUGUGAAGAUGCAGUGUACCCGCGGCAAGACGGAAAGACCCCGUGAACCUUUACUAUAGCUUGACACUGAACAUUGAGCCUUGAUGUGUAGGAUAGGUGGGAGGCUUUGAAGUGUGGACGCCAGUCUGCAUGGAGCCGACCUUGAAAUACCACCCUUUAAUGUUUGAUGUUCUAACGUGGACCCGUUACCCGGGUUGCGGACAGUGUCUGGUGGGUAGUUUGACUGGGGCGGUCUCCUCCUAAAGAGUAACGGAGGAGCACGAAGGUUGGCUAAUCCUGGUCGGACAUCAGGAGGUUAGUGCAAUGGCAUAAGCCAGCUUGACUGCGAGCGUGACGGCGCGAGCAGGUGCGAAAGCAGGUCAUAGUGAUCCGGUGGUUCUGAAUGGAAGGGCCAUCGCUCAACGGAUAAAAGGUACUCCGGGGAUAACAGGCUGAUACCGCCCAAGAGUUCAUAUCGACGGCGGUGUUUGGCACCUCGAUGUCGGCUCAUCACAUCCUGGGGCUGAAGUAGGUCCCAAGGGUAUGGCUGUUCGCCAUUUAAAGUGGUACGCGAGCUGGGUUUAGAACGUCGUGAGACAGUUCGGUCCCUAUCUGCCGUGGGCGCUGGAGAACUGAGGGGGGCUGCUCCUAGUACGAGAGGACCGGAGUGGACGCAUCACUGGUGUUCGGGUUGUCAUGCCAAUGGCACUGCCCGGUAGCUAAAUGCGGAAGAGAUAAGUGCUGAAAGCAUCUAAGCACGAAACUUGCCCCGAG
rnacentral:rRNA from 3 species